rnacentral:rRNA from 1 species
AGUGAACGCUGGCGGUAGGCCUAACACAUGCAAGUCGAACGGCAGCACAGUAAGAGCUUGCUCUUACGGGUGGCGAGUGGCGGACGGGUGAGGAAUACAUCGGAAUCUACUUUCUCGUGGGGGAUAACGUAGGGAAACUUACGCUAAUACCGCAUACGACCUACGGGUGAAAGCAGGGGAUCUUCGGACCUUGCGCGAUUGAAUGAGCCGAUGUCGGAUUAGCUAGUUGGCGGGGUAAAGGCCCACCAAGGCGACGAUCCGUAGCUGGUCUGAGAGGAUGAUUAGCCACACUGGAACUGAGACACGGUCCAGACUCCUACGGGAGGCAGCAGUGGGGAAUAUUGGACAAUGGGCGCAAGCCUGAUCCAGCCAUACCGCGUGGGUGAAGAAGGCCUUCGGGUUGUAAAGCCCUUUUGUUGGGAAAGAAAAGCAGCAGGUUAAUACCCCGCUGUUCUGACGGUACCCAAAGAAUAAGCACCGGCUAACUUCGUG